GAGAAUUCAGAAUUCAGAAUUCAGGAAAGGAAGCAUGGUAUCUAAGGUACUGUGGCUGGUGAUACUGGGAUAAAACCAAGAAGGCCUCAUGAAGCCCACAUAGAAUUACCAGGAAGGGAAUGUCCACAUACUAGAAGUAUAAGGAGGCAGUGGGCAUGAGAUUUCAGAUUGGUGCUGCUACACACCCUGAAACUAUUUCAGAAGGCAGCUGAUGUGAAGAAGGUAAUGUGAAGGCGCAAUUGUAACACAAAGAAACAUGAAGACAGAAAUCAGAAACUGUGACAGUCUUUGAAAAUAAUUGCUAUGUCCUCAACUGAAAAAAAAAUUAUGCCUAUUUUAUUUAAAGUGCCAGAGCUUAAAUAAAUAAAUAAAUAAAUAAAUAAACAAAGUGCCAGAGCUCCUCACCCCACAUCCAAAAAAUGGAAAAUAGAUUAAAAAGACUGCAAAGAAAAAAUAACUUUCAAAUGUUUGAAAAAUGGUGAUAACUUAAGAAUGAAGCAAGGAGUCUGGGAUGAUCACAGCACUUCUGAAAGUGAAAGUAUCAAGAAACUGCAUUAUUUCUAUCCAUCUCCCAAGAGUUAAUUCCAGAAAAGGAAGGAUCUAGUUCUUGAGUCUCUUCAAACUCCCUAAUUCCGAUGCCUGGGGAGAACCACAUGCCUAUAGUUUCUUUAAAAAAUAUGUUUUUCGUUUUCUUUCCUUUUGCCUGCCAUUCAUCCAGCAAGAGCCUCAAAGCACAUUAGAACAUUAAUUUAUAAUACUUAUGCAUAUGUAGUGGAAUCCCCUAAGAUUUUAAGGACUCACUUGCCAAUGGAAAAUAGGCCAUAUGGAGCGCCCAGGCAUUCAGAACACAACCGAAGUCGAUUAUCUCCCCUAGCCCCCAGCCCCAGCGUGAUGAAGAGGAUAUUUGGCUACAAUAUUUUGGAACCUAAGAUGCUCUCAUGGAUUGUGGAUGCCAAAUUGGAACCGAAUUAGUCUCAUCUAAGACAGUAAUAGA